ensembl:lncRNA
AAUGUUUGACUGUAGUAGUAAGAAGUCCAGAAAAAGGUCUGAUGAGGGUUUCAUCAGGCCGCCAUAACUGUCUGGUUUAAAGCAAGUUGUCUGUGGGGAAGGAAAAGGCAGGUUCUGGGUUCCUUAUUUAAACUUCCUUCCCUCUCAGAAAAGACUGCAAAGCAUUAAGACAAGAAUAACCAGAUUCCAGAACAGCACUUAGCUCCAAGCUGCUCAGCUCUGAGAAGCAAAUAUUUUAAGCACUGUCCAGUAUUUUAGUGUUUUAUUUCAGUGUUUAUUGUCUCAUAUGUUGUCUUUUUUGCAUGGCUUUUAUUUAUUUGUCUUAAAUCUAUCCGUUGUUCAGUGAGUUAAGUGUGUCUGUUGUUUUCUUCCUGUCAGUGCGUGGACCUCACUGAAACAAAUCCAGUCGACAUGGAAAGUAUAAAUGGUGAAUCUAUCUGCCAGCCACUGAGCUCUGUGCUUGUGUCUGAACAGCAGUGAUGUGAUUUUGACUCUUCAGCAUUCAAGGUAGAAGCGUUUGGUCACCAUGCACCUGUCUUUGGUUGGCAUCUGUCUUCUGUUGCCAGAGGAGAAAUCUUUAAAGCGUUGCCCGACCUGUGUGGAUUAAACAAACACAAACGGUGUUGAACACUUCAACGAUGUACUGGAUGAGGAAGGAGCCAAGAUUUUCCUGUCUGUAUGACACAGUAUCUGCAGGACAAACAUUCAGACACAGAGAGCACACUUGAGCAAACGGGGCCGGACCUGGCGGCGGCACGUCAUCACUGACCACAACACUGUCACUAACGAGCACCGCUCCACCUGCCUCUGCAACAUGUAUGAUGACAUUUACAUUUUAAAGUCAACCAAACUGUGACUAUGAAGACAUUUGCUGUUGUUUUCAGGAAUUAAAAUGAGAAU